GUAACUUCGGACUACUUCAGUGCACUGCCCUCCGAAGGCAAAGGUCACACGUUCGAAUCGUGUCGGGUGCGCCA
rnacentral:tRNA from 2 species